AUAGCAUGAUUGUGGAUUGUUGUGGUGGAUAUGUCCAUGCACACAAGAGAACCAAUUAGAGACAGCGUAUUGUCGGGACUCGAAUGGGUAAAGGAGGUUUUUUGUGGACAUUCGGAUAGAGUAUAUGAAGCUUUUAGAAUGGAGAGACAUGUCUUUCUCAAUCUUUGUGGUUUGAUGAUAGAAAAAUGUUGGUUGGAAGAUAGCCGAUAUAUUAAGGUAGAUGAACAAGUCACGAUCUUCUUAUCUAUAAUUUGUCACAAGAAGUCCAAUAGAGAUUUAUGUGACAAAUUUCAACAUUUGGGAUAGACUAUCGGCAAGUACUUCACUAAAGUGUUAAAUUCAGUUCUCAAACUGGCAAAAAAGAUUAUCGUAUCACCUUCCUUUGAUGUCGUCCUAGAGGAGAUUUUGAUGAAUCCUUAACAUGAGCCUUACUUCAAGGGUUGCGUAGGCGCUAUUGAUGGCACCCAUGUGCAUGCUUCUGUACUUGUGGCCAAGUAGAUCCCAUUUAGAGGCUGAAAAGGAAUUACCACUCAAAAUGUCAUGUGUGCUUGUUCGUUCGAUAUGAAAUUUACUUUUGUGUAUGCUGGUUGGGAAGGAUCGGCGAAUGAUUGUCGGGUGCUUUUGGCGGAACUCGAGACUCCUCGUUUGGAAUUUCCUAGACCACCACUAGGCAAAUACUACGUGGUAGAUUCCGGCUAUGCAACAGCUCUAGGAUUUUUAACUCCUUUUAAAGGUGAAUGGUAUCACCUAAAUGAUUACAAGGGUGCAUCGAGACGGCCAAGAGCAGCAAGAGAAUUGUUCAACUAUAGACAUUCUUCAUUAAGAAAUGUCAUUGAGAGAUCAUUUACGGCAUUAAAAAAUCAUUUCUUCAUUUUGAGACAUAUGCCUUCAUUUGCAAUUCGAAAGCAAGCAUGUUUCGUAAUUGCAUGUUGUGUUAUCCAUAAUUACAUUCGUGAUCAAGACAAGAGGGAUAAGAACAUUUCACUAUAUGGAAAUCUAGGAUACUCGUUUGGACCUACACAAGAUGAGGUUAUAUCAUAUGCAUUGAUUGCAGAGGGAACCGAGAUGAAUAUGCUUAAGAUAGAUAUUGCCAAUCAAAUGGCAAGAGAUCAUAAUAUGGAAGAGAUUUCUUGAAAUUGUGUUCUUAACUUUUGUAACGCAUUUUCAUCUAGCUCCUAGGUAUUCAUAUAUUUCUUUACUAAAUUGAUUGCAAUUCAUCCCUUAGUCUUUCUAUUUUGUUGGAUGAUGCUUUUAUUAAGACAACUUGUGAAACUUUCGUAGGAGCUACUUUUUUGGAGUUGGAGCUAAUUUUCUUUCUCCACAAAAAAUAGGGAGUCUACAAAGAAUUUUGAAAUGUGAGAGCACGUCUUUUGCAAGCAAAGCUAGAGUUGGAGCCGAUAUUAUGGUUUCAGACGAGGAAUUUGAAAUUGCGUUCAUUCUAUAGUUGGAACUAGCUGAUAUUAACGUAGGAAUUUUGAAAUGUGCUA